UACGGAGGAUCCGAGCGUUAUCCGGAUUUAUUGGGUUUAAAGGGAGCGUAGGUGGAUUGUUAAGUCAGUUGUGAAAGUUUGCGGCUCAACCGUAAAAUUGCAGUUGAAACUGGCAGUCUUGAGUACAGUAGAGGUGGGCGGAAUUCGUGGUGUAGCGGUGAAAUGCUUAGAUAUCACGAAGAACUCCGAUUGCGAAGGCAGCUCACUGGACUGCAACUGACACUGAGGCUCGAAAG
rnacentral:rRNA from 1 species